rnacentral:rRNA from 1 species
UACGUAGGCAGCGAGCGUUGUUCGGAAUUACUGGGCGUAAAGAGUGUGUAGGCGGUGCUCCCAGUCUGUUGUGAAAUCUCCCGGCUUAACUGGGAGGGUGCAGCGGAAACUAGAGUGCUAGAGGGUGGGAGAGGUAAGCGGAAUUCCUGGUGUAGCGGUGAAAUGCGUAGAUAUCAGGAGGAACACCUGUGGUGUAGACAGCUUACUGGACCGUAGCUGACGCUGAGACACGAAAGCGUGGGUAGCAAACAGG